AGCUCAUGGUGUAAACAUCUUAUAAGUAAAUCUUUAAAUCAUUCCUAAGCCUCAUAUAAUGAUUCAUCAUCAAAUUGUGUGAAUGAAAUUAUAUCAUUCCUUAACUU
rnacentral:snoRNA from 1 species